UACGGGGGGGGCAAGCGUUAAUCGGAAUUACUGGGCGUAAAGCGUGCGCAGGCGGUUGUGCAAGACCGAUGUGAAAUCCCCGGGCUUAACCUGGGAAUGGCAUUGGUGACUGCACGGCUAGAGUGUGUCAGAGGGGGGUAGAAUUCCACGUGUAGCAGUGAAAUGCGUAGAGAUGUGGAGGAAUACCGAUGGCGAAGGCAGCCCCCUGGGAUAACACUGACGCUCAUGCACGAAAGCGUGGGGAGCAAACAGG
rnacentral:rRNA from 1 species